rnacentral:rRNA from 1 species
GGUUAAGCGAACGAAGCGUACACGGUGGAUGCCUAGGCAGUCAGAGGCGAUGAAGGACGUGCUAAUCUGCGAAAAGCGUCGGUAAGCUGAUAUGAAGCGUAAUAGCCGGCGAUGUCCGAAUGGGGAAACCCAGUGCAUUAAUGCACUAUCGUUUGAUGAAUUCAUAGUCAAACGAGGCGAACCGGGGAACUGAAACAUCUCAGUACCCCGAGGAAAAGAAAUCAACCGAGAUUCCCCUAGUAGCGGCGAGCGAACGGGGAGCAGCCCAGAGUCAGCAUCGAUAUUAGUAUCAGGAGAAGGGUCUGGAAAGGCCAGCAAUAAAGGGUGAUAGCCCCGUAUCCGAAGAUGUUAGUAUUGUGAGCUCGAAGAGUAGGGCGGGACACGUGUUAUCCUGUCUGAAUAUGGGGGGACCAUCCUCCAAGGCUAAAUACUCCUGACUGACCGAUAGUGAACCAGUACCGUGAGGGAAAGGCGAAAAGAACCCCGGCGAGGGGAGUGAAAAAGAACCUGAAACCGUGUACGUACAAGCAGUGGGAGCCCCACCACCAAAGUAUUUCUGCACGCUGUUUGGCGGUUGGCGGAGGAGCGUAGCGACGCCCAACCAAUCCAAUCAAGCAGUGUAAGUCCCAACGAAUCAAGGCGCGUGAUUUAGAUUGAAUCAGGUAAAAUCUGAUUUAAGACGCAUCAGGCCAAUUGACUGGGAUGGGGUGGGUUGCCGAAGGCAACCGCCGCAAAGUACGGAGUACUUUGGGGUGGGGUGACUGCGUACCUUUUGUAUAAUGGGUCAGCGACUUAUAUUCUGUAGCAAGGUUAACCGCAUAGGGGAGCCGUAGGGAAACCGAGUCUUAACUGGGCGUUAAGUUGCAGGGUAUAGACCCGAAACCCGGUGAUCUAGCCAUGGGCAGGUUGAAGGUUGGGUAACACUAACUGGAGGACCGAACCGACUAAUGUUGAAAAAUUAGCGGAUGACUUGUGGCUGGGGGUGAAAGGCCAAUCAAACCGGGAGAUAGCUGGUUCUCCCCGAAAGCUAUUUAGGUAGCGCCUCGUGAAUUCAUCUUUGGGGGUAGAGCACUGUUUCGGCUAGGGGGUCAUCCCGACUUACCAACCCGAUGCAAACUACGAAUACCGAAGAAUGUUAUCACGGGAGACACACGGCGGGUGCUAACGUCCGUCGUGAAGAGGGAAACAACCCAGACCGCCAGCUAAGGUCCCAAAGUCAUGGUUAAGUGGGAAACGAAGUGGGAAGGCUUAGACAGCCAGGAUGUUGGCUUAGAAGCAGCCAUCAUUUAAAGAAAGCGUAAUAGCUCACUGGUCGAGUCGGCCUGCGCGGAAGAUGUAACGGGGCUAAACCAUGCACCGAAGCUGCGGCAGCAACAGCAAUGUUGUUGGGUAGGGGAGCGUUCUGUAAGCCGUCGAAGGUGGACUGAGAGGUCUGCUGGAGGUAUCAGAAGUGCGAAUGCUGACAUAAGUAACGAUAAAGCGGGUGAAAAACCCGCUCGCCGAAAGACCAAGGGUUCCUGUCCAACGUUAAUCGGGGCAGGGUAAGUCGACCCCUAAGGCGAGGCUGAAAAGCGUAGUCGAUGGGAAACGGGUUAAUAUUCCCGUACUAAGGGUUACUGCGAAGGGGGGACGGAGAAGGCUAGGCUAUCCGGGCGACGGUUGUCCCGGUUUAAGCGUGUAGGUGGGUCGUGCAGGCAAAUCCGCAUGGCUAUAACACUGAGGCGUGAUGACGAGCCACCAAGGUGGUGAAGUAGUUGAUGCCAAGCUUCCAGGAAAAGCCUCUAAGCGAUAGGUAACCGUUAAUCGUACCCCAAACCGACACAGGUGGUUAGGUAGAGAAUACUCAGGCGCUUGAGAGAACUCGGGUGAAGGAACUAGGCAAAAUGGUGCCGUAACUUCGGGAGAAGGCACGCUGGCGUUAGGUGAAGUGGUUCGCCCAUGGAGCUGAAGCCAGUCGCAGAUACCAGCUGGCUGCAACUGUUUAUUAAAAACACAGCACUGUGCAAACACGAAAGUGGACGUAUACGGUGUGACGCCUGCCCGGUGCUGGAAGGUUAAUUGAUGGGGUAAGCCGUAAGGCGAAGCUCUUGAUCGAAGCCCCAGUAAACGGCGGCCGUAACUAUAACGGUCCUAAGGUAGCGAAAUUCCUUGUCGGGUAAGUUCCGACCUGCACGAAUGGCGUAAUGAUGGCCAGGCUGUCUCCACCCGAGACUCAGUGAAAUUGAACUCGCUGUGAAGAUGCAGUGUACCCGCGGCAAGACGGAAAGACCCCGUGAACCUUUACUAUAGCUUGACACUGAACAUUGAGCCUUGAUGUGUAGGAUAGGUGGGAGGCUUUGAAGUGUGGACGCCAGUUCGCAUGGAGCCAACGUUGAAAUACCACCCUUUAAUGUUUGAUGUUCUAACUUAGGCCCGUAAUCCGGGCUGAGGACAGUGUCUGGUGGGUAGUUUGACUGGGGCGGUCUCCUCCCAAAGCGUAACGGAGGAGCACGAAGGUUGGCUAAUCACGGUCGGACAUCGUGAGGUUAGUGCAAAGGCAUAAGCCAGCUUGACUGCGAGCGUGACGGCGCGAGCAGGUACGAAAGUAGGUCUUAGUGAUCCGGUGGUUCUGAAUGGAAGGGCCAUCGCUCAACGGAUAAAAGGUACUCCGGGGAUAACAGGCUGAUACCGCCCAAGAGUUCAUAUCGACGGCGGUGUUUGGCACCUCGAUGUCGGCUCAUCACAUCCUGGGGCUGAAGUAGGUCCCAAGGGUAUGGCUGUUCGCCAUUUAAAGUGGUACGCGAGCUGGGUUUAGAACGUCGUGAGACAGUUCGGUCCCUAUCUGUCGUGGGCGAAGGAAGAUUGAGGGGGGCUGCUCCUAGUACGAGAGGACCGGAGUGGACGCACCACUGGUGUACAGGUUGUCAUGCCAAUGGCAUAGCCUGGUAGCUAAGUGCGGAAGAGAUAACCGCUGAAAGCAUCUAAGCGGGAAACUUGCCUCAAGAUGAGUCUUCCCUGACAGCAAUGUCCUAUAAGGGGUGUUCGAGACGAGGACGUAGAUAGGCUGGGUGUGUAAGCGUAGCGAUACGUUGAGCUAACCAGUACUAAUGACCCGAGAGGCUUAACCUG